rnacentral:rRNA from 1 species
GAUGAACGCUGGCGGCGUGCCUAAUACAUGCAAGUCGAGCGAACAGACGAGGAGCUUGCUCCUCUGACGUUAGCGGCGGACGGGUGAGUAACACGUGGAUAACCUACCUAUAGACUGGGAUAACUUCGGGAAACCGGAGCUAAUACCGGAUAAUAUAUUGAACCGCAUGGUUCAAUAGUGAAAGACGGUUUUGCUGUCACUUAUAGAUGGAUCCGCGCCGCAUUAGCUAGUUGGUAAGGUAACGGCUUACCAAGGCGACGAUGCGUAGCCGACCUGAGAGGGUGAUCGGCCACACUGGAACUGAGACACGGUCCAGACUCCUACGGGAGGCAGCAGUAGGGAAUCUUCCGCAAUGGGCGAAAGCCUGACGGAGCAACGCCGCGUGAGUGAUGAAGGUCUUCGGAUCGUAAAACUCUGUUAUUAGGGAAGAACAAAUGUGUAAGUAACUAUGCACGUCUUGACGGUACCUAAUCAGAAAGCCACGGCUAACUACGUG